CCUACGGGAGGCAGCAGUGAGGAAUAUUGGUCAAUGGCCGGAAGCCUGAACCAGCCAAGCCGCGUGAGGGAGGAAGGCGCAGAGCGUCGCAGACCUCUUUUGCCGGGGGACAAAAGGCCGGACUCGUCCGGUCCUGAGGGUACCCGGAGAAAAAGCAUCGGCUAACUCCGUGCCAGCAGCCGCGGUAAUACGGAGGAUGCGAGCGUUAUCCGGAUUCAUUGGGUUUAAAGGGUGCGCAGGGGGGCCUUUAAGCCGGCGGUGAAAUCGCGGGGCUCAACCCCGCCGGGCCGUCGGAACUGGGGGCCUUGAGUGCGGCGGAGGCAUGCGGAAUGCGCGGUGUAGCGGUGAAAUGCAUAGAUAUCGCGCAGAACCCCGAUUGCGAAGGCAGCGGGCCGUGCCGCCACUGACGCUGAGGCACGAAAGCGCGGGGAUCGAACAGGAUUAGAUACCCUAGUAGUC
rnacentral:rRNA from 1 species